CGAGCGACAAGGAGCAAUCUGACGGUGGCGACCGGCGCACGGGUGAGUAACACGUAUGCAACCUGCCUGUAAGCGGGGAAUAACCCGUUGAAAGACGGACUAAUACCGCAUAAUACUAAAUUACUGCAUGGUAAUUUAUUUAAACAUUUAUGGCUUACAGAUGGGCAUGCGCAUGAUUAGCUAGUUGGAGAGGUAACGGCUCCCCAAGGCAACGAUCAUUAGGGGUUCUGAGAGGAAGGUCCCCCCACACUGGUACUGAGACACGGACCAGACUCCUACGGGAGGCAGCAGUGAGGAAUAUUGGUCAAUGGACGAGAGUCUGAACCAGCCAAGUCGCGUGCAGGAAGAAUGUCCUAUGGAUUGUAAACUGCUUUUGCAGGGGAAUAAAGUGCAUCACGUGUGAUGUUUUGUAUGUACUCUGCGAAUAAGGAUCGGCUAACUCCGUGCCAGCCGCGGC
rnacentral:rRNA from 1 species